rnacentral:rRNA from 1 species
GGGUGCGAUCAUACCAGCACUAAUGCACCGGAUCCCAUCAGAACUCCGAAGUUAAACGUGCUUGGGCGAGAGUAGUACUAAGAUGGGUGACUGAUGGGCUCUUUAUGCAACCU